GCACCUGAUCUUUCCCAUUCCUUGCUGCUCAGUGUGGGCCUGGGGACACAUGGUGCUUACAGAAAAGCUGAGUAAAUCCAGACAGGUGAUCUUUCAUUGAGUACUUGUCUCUACACCUCUGCAACACCU
ensembl:snoRNA